AUAAAGUGCCACUUGUGUCACCAUAUGGAAUUCAUCAGCUACAUAUCUUCAUAUUUCUUUCAAUUUUCAGUACUCAUUGGAGUUUGCAUUAGUCACCCUGCAAAAGCUUUCAGCUCCUGCUAACGAGGAUGAUGUGAUGGAUACACACAAAAAUUUGAUGAAUGAGCUAGGAGGGAUUUCUCAAGAUGGAGAUAACUCAAAUGUUUCUUUUGUCAAUGCAACAGUCAAGGGUCUACGCUUUGUUUUGGAGCAGCUUCAGAUAAAACCAUUAGAGGUUUUCUUGCUGGAGAAACUAUGUAUGGUUUGCUGAAGUAACCUUUGCUAGCAGCUGGAAGGCUUGUUCCAGAAACUACAUGAUGAUAUCAUUGCCAUGUGUUUCACCAGCAUUGCAGAAAUGUCUUAAACAUGAGAGUUGACUUGGGCAUAUUCAGAGCUUCGGCAAUGGACCUUAUGCUAGUACGUUGUCGCAAUGGUAUUUCCAUAAUCUUGCUUAAAUCAACCUUCCUGGGUUUAGGACCAACUCUGGUUGGUUUUCGUGAAGACACGUCAAAAGGAAAACAAGGGCUUGAAUCCGUCUCCUCCAGCUCUUCAUU